GACCGCGUAGCUCAGUUGGAAGAGCAUUGCGCCAGUAUUCCAAAGGUCGUAGGUUCGAAUCCUACCGUGGCCG
rnacentral:tRNA from 1 species